UACAGAGGUCCCAAGCGUUGUUCGGAUUCACUGGGCGUAAAGCGCGCGUAGGCGGACCUGCAAGUCGGGGGUGAAAGCCCGAGGCUCAACCUCGGAACUGCCUUCGAUACUGCGGGUCUCGAGUCCGGGAGAGGUGAGUGGAAUUCCUAGUGUAGAGGUGAAAUUCGUAGAUAUUAGGAAGAACACCAGUGGCGAAGGCGGCUCACUGGCCCGGUACUGAC
rnacentral:rRNA from 1 species